CCGAUCUCCACCUGGCUAACUUUGCGUCAUGAUUUGGACUUUUGAAUCUUUGAUUUUUUAUGUUUACCAUCGUCGUGGUCAUUACUCGAGAGAAGGAUAGUGAGAAUUUUGACCGGAAAUUUGAAUGGGUGAAAGUAUGGCGAGAGUUAUUAUUAUUAUUAAAAAUGGAUUAUAUUUAUUUUUCGAUGUUAAGUUUUAAUAAUAAAAAUAAAUAAUUUUUUAUAGUAAUACCGAGAGUUUUAUUUCAAUAAUGAAAAAAACAAGUACAAAGGGAGGGCAAAACAGGAAAGUCAUUAUCCGCCCUAGCUGUAACACACAAAAGAAAGCGUAAAACUAAGCAGUAACUCUCGGCGGCUUGUGGGUAAAUGAAAAGACAAAAAGCAUACCCAAACACAAAAGCACCAGCGGAGAAAGAAGAAAUUUUGCUCUAAAAUAAAACCAGAGAUCCAAAAAACGCAGCUUCCAGUCCCUUAGAUCUGAGAAAUCAGACCCGAAAGGUCUCUAGCCAAAAAUACCUCUGCCGCCGCUGGUAAAUCCUCCACCCAAAACCUAAAAACAUUUGAAGAAAUAUAAAUAGCAAUGGAGCUAAAUUAGGGCAGUGAUCGCGUUAUUUAUUUUCAUCCCAUUCUUGCAGUAUAUCAGUAAUAAUAUAUAUGGUGUUUUUCAUCUUAAUCAAAUUAUAAAUACAUGAAUAUUUAAUUUAAAGAAAGUUUUUAUAUAUAAUUCGUUAAAAUAAUAUACUUAUUAAUAAAUACAGAUAUAAUCAUAAUUUGAUACAUAUUUUAAACGAGAUUUAAGCUGAGAUUUAUUGCCACGAUUAGACUGAACUUAACCGAUAAUUUGGUAAACAAUUUAAAUUUUGGAUCAUUUUUUAAUAUUUCUUGACACGGCAGAAAAAUAAAAUUAUUUUUGCUCCCUUAACCUAAACUGAAAUACGUCCCAAGCGGAACGCUUUCCAGUAAUCUACAGGCAAUACCCAUGUGUGAGUUUACUGAAGGUUCGAUAUCCACACUUUGUCGGUAGCCUAAAAGCCAAUAACCACAAGCCACGUGUUUAUUCCCUUCCCCCCUCUCCUCGGUUGCCAUAGUUGAUUUCUCUUCAAAGUCGGAAUACCCGUCUACAUUAUACAAAUUAAGGUUCCUACUUCCUUCCAUCUCAAGGCUCAAGGACCAAACUGCAAUUUUCACUCAUCUCCUCUCACCAUCUUUUCCGGCCGGGAACUUCCACAAAACGUCGCCCUCAAAAGAGAUCUUAAUGCCUCCGAACUCCAGCAGCGACGCUAUAUACUCUACUACAAAAACAAACAGCUCCUCCUCCUCUCUCCAGCUUCAACCUUUUUCAUUUCUAUGGCUGCUCCUUUUCAUCGUCUCACUUCAGGUAACCAUUCUCAUUAUGGCUCGCGCCGUCCCUUUCUACAAUCGCCGAACCCAUUUCCCGAACCCAGUAUCCGACCCGUGCUCGUCGGGUCGUAUCUUCGUUUACAACUUGCCACUUGUUUUCAACCAAGAGUUGUUGGAUAAUUGCCACGAGCUGGACCCAUGGAAUUCACGUUGCGAAGCAUUGUCCAACGGUGGGUUAGGGAGGAAGGCGACGGGAUUAUCCGGCGUCGUACCGGAAGAGUUGAUCCCGGCUUGGUACUGGACAGACCAGUUCGCCAUGGAAGUUAUUUACCACAACCGUAUUUUGAACCAUAAGUGUCGCACCAUGGAACCGGAUUCCGCGACGGCGUUUUAUAUCCCGUUUUACGCUGGACUCGCCGUCGGGAAGUACUUGUGGUCCAAUUAUACUACAAAAGAUCGUGAUAGGUACUGCGAGAUGAUACUAGACUGGGUCCGAGAUCAACCGUAUUGGAACCGUUCCGACGGAUGGGAUCAUUUCACGACGAUGGGACGCAUCACAUGGGAUUUCCGGCGGUCCAAAAACGAAGACUGGGGUUCCCGAUGUAUUUACAUGCCGGGGAUGAGGAACAUCACGCGUCUCUUGAUUGAACGAAACCCCUGGGACUAUUUUGACGUCGGUGUACCUUAUCCUAGUGGAUUCCACCCCAGGUCCGAUUCCGACAUCUUCCAAUGGCAGUACUUCGUCCGUAACCGCCAACGCGACACCCUCUUCUGCUUUGCCGGAGCGCCGCGCGGCGCCGUGAAGAACGAUUUCCGAGGCUUGCUGUUGAACCAAUGUAUGAACGCUUCCGGUUUAUGCCGGGUCGUUGAUUGCGCCGGUACCCGUUGCUCCAACGGCACAUCGGCGAUCCUCGAAACAUUUUUGGAUUCCGAUUUUUGCUUGCAACCCAGAGGCGACAGUUUCACUCGUAGGUCAAUUUUCGACUGCAUGGUCGCCGGUUCCAUCCCCGUUUUCUUCUGGCACCGAACGGCUUAUCUCCAGUACCAAUGGUUUUUACCGAAUGAUCCCAAAAGUUACUCGGUUUUUAUCCACCGGGACGAGGUGAAAAAUGGGACGAGCAUUCAAAGCGUGCUUCAACGUUACAGUAGAGAAGAAGUGAAGAAAAUGAGGGAGAAAGUGAUUGAAUUCAUUCCCAAGAUAAUUUAUGCAAAGCCUGAGAAUGGUUUGGAGAGUAUUAAAGAUGCAUUUGAUGUCGCCAUUGAUGGAGUGUUGAAGAGAAAUAAGGAGCAUGAGCAGCCUGGUUACAAGUGGAAAUGAUGGUUUUAAUGGAAAUUGGAAGCUCGGGGUGAAAAAAAAUAGAAAUGCAGAGAAUAUACAGAAAUUUAUAUUUAUUAUUUUUUCAUUUUUAAAGGAUGGGAUAGGGGCAUGACUUCCCCCUGACAUUGUUAACUUUUUGUAUAUAAUAAUAAUGGUUUGAGGGUGAAAGUUACUGAAUAUGUUAUGUUGUGUUGAGUAAUAAGAGAUUGGCUUUGAAGAUUUAGAAUUUAGAAAUCAGUAGUAAUAUAGCUUAGCUCAUAAAUGAUGUUUGAGUUGAUUCGACAAUUUGUGACUCCCAAUAGAGGUGAGAACAAAGUUAAUGUAAUAUUUAAUCAAACUAGAGGAAUUUUUAUCUUAAUUUAUUAAUAUUUUAUGAAAAUUGGGAACACCGUGAAACUUUAUUUAUGGUGAUAGUGAAGUGAAUUAUAGGGAGGAAAAAAAACAUUAAAGGCAAUUAGAUUAGAAAAUUAAAACAUGUAUAUAUACAAAUUGUUAUGCUACCUCUGCAGGCUGUACUAAGUGAACUUCCAAUAUUACUUCUGUUAGGAGCAUGUGAGAUUUGACACGCAAUGCCACUACAAUUAAACUUAAUCGCUAGUGAGAUCCAGAAACGUAACAUCUCUUAUAUCACUAAAGAGAUGAACACUAAACCUACUACAUCUCUCAACCACACUCGUGACCUUUCUCCCAUCUCUAAGCCGUCUAUUCCUCGUUGCAAUGAUUCUCAUAUGCAAGGGAAGUGUUUGGUAAAUAUAAAAAAUGAAUUGGAAUGACAACCUUUGGAACAUCUUUAAUGGUGGGCCUGUGAGGGGGAAAUGUGGAAUUAAAAAACGCAACAAGGAAUCUAAUUUCUCUUUACUUCUGCACUGCUUUUCUUGUAAUAAAAAACAACAAUGAAAAAACAAAUGAAUUGCAUCCCCUUUUGCUUUUAUUUGUAAUUACAAUUUUCUUUUACCCACCAAUAAUUGUUUAUUACAAAAGACAAGGCUUUGGAGUUCACUGUUUUGUUUGUUUGAAGUAGCAUUCGGUCUCAAAACUCUAGUGGAUCGUCCAAGGUAUUAAAACAUGUGACGCUGAAAAUAGAUGAAGUUAAAUCGUUUAAAUGAAGGAUUUUUUAGUCAAUCAUCAAACGGAGUUAAUAAAUAAAGGACUUUCCACAACCAUCAUGAAAUUGGAUGCCUCACAAAUCUUACCCCAAACUACACCUGUUAUUUUAAUAGUAAAAAUAAUUUUACCCCUCUGGAUCUCCCAUCAUUUAAAUAUUCAUCAUUCGUAAUUAUAAUCUGUAGAUUAUUACUUUUAAUAUGUGUAUAUUGUUCAGGUUUUUGUUUUUUAUAUUAUGUUAUGAUUAAUUGGAUAUAUAUUAACAUUAGAAUUUAUUUUUCAUACUUUAAAAAAAUCAUUCACCUAUACAUUUUUCUUUUGAUAAAAUGAUAAAUAUUUUAAUACUUAGAUUUAAGUAUUUCAUCAGUUUAUAUUUUUUACAAUUUUAAUUUUAAUAUUAUAAAUAUGUAAAUAAUAUUAAAAAAUUAAUUGAAAUUUAAAUUUAAACACCGUAAAGUUCAAGAUAAAAGUAUAAAAGUCGAGUUUAAUUUUUUAAUAGAAAAGUAACAUUGUUUUCCUUUGUAAUCUUGUGGAUAUUUUUGGUUGAAAUUAUUGAUUCAGUGUGGAUAUAAGUGAUUAAUUCUUUUUGAAGAGAUAUUUAAAGUAAAAAGGUAAUAUAAUUAAUCACGACCUUAAUAUUUUUUAUUAAUUGUACAUAUUUUGGAUUGAUGUAAUAAUAAUUUUAGCCCUAAAAGUUACAUAUUCUAUCAAAUUGGUAAUGCUUUAACAUUUAUGUAAAUGUGUAAAUGGUGAGACUAAAUUUGUUGAACUUUUAGAAUCUAGACUAAAUUAAUAAAACAUGUAAAUAUCGAGAGCUGAAUUUAUUGUUGUGCUGAUCAAAAUCAUGUACAAUUUACUGAAGAAAUUAAAGCCAUGACCAUGAUUAAUUGUCCUCUCACUUUCAAAAUUGACAAGGAUUAAAUUGCUUUGAAUUGUUUGAGAGGGAUCAAUUUGAUCGGUUUUGAAAUUGAGAAGGAUUAGAGAGGGCUUUUUACCAUAGCAAAACUAAAAUAUCUAGAUGCAAACGACAUCGUUUCGCAUCCCACUCAAAAGGAGACGUACUCAACUCAAAGUCAAAUCAAAGCCGUCCAGUUUAAAGCAACAUUAGGGUUUGACGGUUUAAUUGAAAGAUUACCACAUGGCAACACUAUAAAAGAAACCGCUAAACCCUAAUUCCCUCCUCUCUUCCUCUGUUUCUGCCCGCCUCACAUUGCAAAAUACUAUAUUUUGCAGCGGCAGAAGGAGCUCUCUCUCUUUCUCUCUGAGACAUCCUUUUAGCUUUUGAUUUUAGUUUAUAACAAUCUUAAUCCAAAUGCCUUCUUUGGCUAUAUCUGACCUCAAAGAGAAGAAAGAAGAGAAAAUGAUGAAGAAGAAGAUCGCUCUCGAAACACCUGAAUCCGAUAAAAAAACGAAGAAGAUCAAGGAACCUAAGGUUAGAGAAGAGGAAGAUGAUUCGGCUGUGAAGAAGAGUAAAAAGAAGCGUAAGGCCUCGGAGCUCCAAAUGGAAGAGGAGGAGAGGAGCGAGACGAGCUCGGAGCUUGUUGAGCCGGUGGAUCCAAAGGAGAAGAAAAAGAAGAAAAAGAAAGCUAAGGUCGAGGAAGAAGGAGAUGGAGAUGGAGAUGGAGAUG
rnacentral:lncRNA from 1 species